rnacentral:rRNA from 1 species
AUUGAACGCUGGCGGCAGGCCUAACACAUGCAAGUCGAGCGGAGCGGCGGACGGGUGAGUAAUGCCUAGGAAUCUGCCUGGUAGUGGGGGAUAACGUCCGGAAACGGGCGCUAAUACCGCAUACUAUCAGAUGAGCCUAGGUCGGAUUAGCUAGUUGGUGGGGUAAAGGCCUACCAAGGCGACGAUCCGUAACUGGUCUGAGAGGAUGAUCAGUCACACUGGAACGGAGAAACGGUCCAGACUACGACGGGAGGCAGCAGUGGGGAAGAUUGGACAAGGGGCGAAAGCCUGAUCCAGCCAGGCCGCGUGGGUGAAGAAGGUCUUCGGAUUGGAAAGCACUUUAAGUGGGGAGGCGUUACAAAAAGAAUAAGAACAGGCUAACUUCGUGCCAGCAGCCGAGGUAAUUC